CGCAAGUUGCGCCCGAAGCCAUUAGGCCGAGGGCACGUCUGCCUGGGCGUCACGCAUCGCGUCGCCCCCUCCCCGCCCCUUUCCUUUGCGGAAGUGGGCAGGGCCAAGGGGGCGGACAUUGGCCUCCCGUGCUGUUCUUGUGCGGCCGGCCCAAAUUUGAU
rnacentral:rRNA from 1 species